UACGUAGGGGCCUAGCGUUGUCCGGAUUUAUUGGGCGUAAAGAGCUCGUAGGCGGUUCGGCAAGUCGGAUGUGAAAUCUCCACGCUCAACGUGGAGGGGCCAUUCGAAACUGCUGUGACUCGAGUCCGGUAGGGGAGUGUGGAAUUCCCGGUGUAGCGGUGAAAUGCGCAGAUAUCUGCAGGAACACCCGUGGCGAAAGCGGCGCGCUGGACCACUACUGACGCUGAGGAGCGAAAGCGAGGGGAGCAAACAGG
rnacentral:rRNA from 1 species